GAAACGUAAUCAACAUAGACAAGAGCUUCUCUUAAGGAAAGAAAAAAAAAUAUGAUAACAAACAUGGCGGGCAUGAGAGCGUCAUUGCAUUUUGUUUAUUAGGUUACGUAGCCGUAAACUAUACGCCUUUGGAUUAUGUGGUCGCAUACAAAAGGACGGAGCCUCAAUGUCAACGUGCGGAAAAGGAGGUGCCGGGGCGAAGGCGCUCGGCGGUAGGCGAUUAGGCGGGUGAUAUGCAAGCGGGGCCGGCGCGCUACGUGUCAGUGAGCGAACUGUACUCAACAGACGAAGUGGAGCUGCUGCUUGACGAGAUAAGAGAAUUGGAGCCCACGAGCUGCCGCGGCGAAGACGUGCAGGUAUUUAACACUGCCACUGACGAGUAUAACAUAAACAUGUCCGGAUCGUCUUUACCCCUUCGGCUCGAAGUUCAGAAAAGAAUAAUUUCGAAUGAUACGUUUAAGUACGCUAAAAUAUAAGUCUUAAAUUUUAAAGGAAAUGGUAUUGUUCCGUGAUAUCAACCUUAAACAGUUGUAUUGUGAUUCUAUAGUAAUAAUAUUUUUUUGAGAUGCCAUUAUAAUUAUCAAGUAGGUACUUAGGAUAAACUAAGACCUGUAGGUAGAAAGACAUUGAAUACAAUUGACUAUGCAGUCUGUGGCUGGUUACUGGCUGAAAUAUUUACACCAAAAAUAUUUAGCCCAAUCUUAUAUGAAAUUCUCAAAGCAAUUAACAUUUGUGUAGUAAUGGUACCUACCUUAUUGGUAACACUUUACCAGUUGUAUAGAAAUAUCUACAUUCCAUUUGUUUUUGAACUUAAACAAGGACUUCGAGAUAGCGGGCAGCGGGUGCGGCGCGGGCGCGGGCGGGCGCUCGCCGGCCGGCACCGAGCUCACGGAGCGCAGCUGGGACUCGCACGCGCAGUACCGCCGCGCGCCGCCGCCUCGCCCGCGCCCGCUCGCGCCGCUCUACUGCCGUCUGCGCUACCUGCUCACGCCCACCGGCGCCGCUACCUUCUUGCUAGUGGUGAGUGCGCACUGUCGAGCCACAGUUGGCGAGCAGCACCGUGUGUUACACGACACAAUAUGAACCAUUUAGCCACUUUUUACCACCACAUAACUCAAAAACUAUUUCACAUAAACUUGUUAAACUUGGCUCAUAUAUUAAGACUUGUGUACUUCAAAUAUCAGAAACAUAUCAAAUGGUUAUUUUAAUAUUUUAUCACUGAAUGACCAAAAUUAUAACCCAGCUCCAGAUAAACUAAAAAGUUCAAAUUUGGCAUGCAGAUGGGUAAUUUGGUUAAUAUCAUCGGCCUAGCCUUUUCCCAACUAUG